GUUUGCGUGACGGAAGGUGGGGGGAGGGGGAGGAAAGAGGCCGCCGAGUUUACUGACCGACAAUAUAAGCCACACUUUUCGAACUGGAGAAAGACUGGGUGAGCGACAGGUGAGUUAGUUGUUUAGCGAAACAUCAUCAUCAGGAUCAUCAUCAGCAGCAGCAGCAGCUACAAGUAAAAUAAAUUUUUAUUAGCUACAAGGUCCACAUAAAUACACAAAUAUUACAGUAACAUAGGCUUAAAUAACACAAUUCAUAUACGUGUGUAUGUGUGUUAACUUGUAUCACUUGCUAGUACACGGACUGGUCACGGCUGGAUCGCAUUUAAUAAGAAGAAUGAAGGAUAUAACAUCGGAGUAAGAGUGUAAACAUCACAAGAUAGAUAGAGGGGUAGAUAGAUAGAUAGAUAGAUAGAGGGGUAGAUAGAUGGCUGGCUGGUAGAUAAACGGGUGAAAGAUAACUGAACAAAUAAGAUUGAUGAAAAGAUAGAUGGAUGGUUUGUGUGAUAGACAAGUUUGAUACAAAGGUAAGG